AUCUGCAGCGACAUAGCUGAGAGUCUGGGUCGAUGCUUUUCCUUCCUUUUCCUGCUCUUUAAAUGCCUUCACUUUCAAAAAUUAUUGUUGUCCCUUCUUUCCGGCAUCAUUCAUUUGCCUUUGCCUUUCAACCGGUUUCCAGCCCAGGUGGUUUCUGGGCACGUAAGCAGGAAGAGUCAUUGCUAUUCCCUCCCAUCACAACUGUGAUGAAGCAAGAGAGGCUCCGGUAAGUGCUUUCAUUUGAGCUUUACAAGAAACAGGUCAAGAGAGGGCAGCAAAGCCACCAGGGUUUGCCAUGCUGGUGGUGGCACAGCACCAUUUUCCCAGUUUCUCUCUAACAAGAAAGAGAAAACAGCUCUUGAAAUAUAGAAAGACACUGUAAUACAGUCAUUUUGCAUGUAAAAAUGUAUAUAAAACUGCUUACUAAGCUUCCUGACCCAAACGUAUCUAUAUAAAUUGCAGAAAAGCAGAGUUCAAGCUCUUUCUGUUCAUCUUUACUCCUCCAACCUCUGACUUCUCCCACCCCACAACACUGAGAAAGGCAGCUGAAAUCCACGGGGUUCAAUACCAAAGCCUUAAAAUGUGAGCCAGAGCCAGCUUCUUCAGCCCUGCAGGAAUGUCAUUGUUGAAUGUCAAGAGUCCCGAAAUAUAGUGUGGUUUCCUGGAUCAAACCAAAGGCUUGUCCAGAGCGUGUCACGUCC